rnacentral:lncRNA from 10 species
CUGGGAGAUGUCUGGGGACUCCGAAGGGCCUGGGGCUGGGACAAAGAGGACAGAAAAUGGGACCUUGAUGCCAUAGGCUAGGGAGGAACUCUGGGAACCAUGCCUGGGGACUAAACUGACCAGCUCUUCUGCUGGUGAGGCUGCUGAGGCCAAGAGGACAGUGACAGAUGGGAAGUUUCCUCCCCAAGUGCCAUGAGGCUUUCAAGGGGGUAGUGGGGAAGGAAGGACACCCUGAAGGUUGUGUGUGUCCCAGAGUGACCAGGUUGUGAGUGGGCUGUCACCGAGCUCACCAGCCUUUAAAUGGGACUGAAAAACAUUAGAUUAGACGGGACUGAAUACACUUCCUCGGGAGAAGUCAUCUUCCUGAAUCAGAAAGUAAACCAAAACCAAGACCCAUCCACAUGGCCGUGAACCACCCCCAAGCCACCAAUGGCAGCCCUGACGCAUACCUUGCUUGAUGACGGGUGGCUUGCGGGCGUCGUCCACCACGAACGAGAACAUCUCCUUGUUGGCGCUCACAGGCCGCCUGUGGGAGGCCGGCAGGACCACGCCCAGAGAGAAGAUGAGCUCAGACACACACAAUGAGGAAAAGGACAGAAUGCUUCCAAAAUCAGAGCUCCAGCAGACAGCACUUCCUAGAACUUCAGCUGGGUUUCAUUGAAAAGGAGGGCUCUCCACUCAGGAUCCUAAUCUCCAAGCUGCAGUCUGUCUACAGCUGCUCAGGGAUCCUAUGCAUUCCCCCUAAGGCUCUUUCUUGGAGUCAGUGAGGAGUGUUCUGGGAAAUCUGGCACCAAACUCCGAUCACCUGGUGAUACAUGGUUUGGCUGUGCCCCACCCAAAUCUCAUCUUGAACUGUAGUUCCCAAAAUCCCCUUAGGACGGACUGGGAGGGACCUGGUGGGAGGUAAUGGAAUCAUGGGGGCAGUUACCUCCAUGCUGCUCUCGUGAUAAUGAGUGACUUCUUGUAAGAUCUGAUGGUUUUAUAAUGGGCUUUCCCCACCCCCUUGCUCUGCACUUCUCCUUGCUGCCGCCAUGUGAGGAAGGACACGUUUGCUUCCCCUUCUGCCAUGAUUGUAAGUUUCCUGAGGCCUCCCCAGCCCUGGGGAACUGUGAGUCAAUUAAACCUGUUCGUUUUUAAAUUACACAGUCUCUGGUAUGUCCUUAUAGCAGUGUGAGAAUGGACUAAUACAUCUGGGGACACCUGGCCAGGCAUUCAAAUGACACUGGCCCACUUGAAGUCUGUUUUCAGGAGUGGGUCUGGGCCGAGUUCCAGAACUCUGUUACCUUACGUGUAGUUUCCCAUUUCUCUCCACUGUCAACAUCUCAGCCUCUCCACCUACCCUCUUUUCCAUUCUUUGGUUUCAGAAGCUGAGCCACUGUGCCCCUGCCCUGGGCUGACUUCUCCGUCCAUCAUGUCCUUCCC